CAGGCUCCAGGCUCUGAGCCAUCAGCCCAGAGCCUGACGCGGGGCUCGAACUCACGGACCGCGAGAUCGUGACCUGGCUGAAGUCGGACGCUUAACCGACUGCGCCACCCAGGUGCCCCUAAUACAGGACUUUUGUUUUGAACAUGUUACAGUUGAGGUUCCUGUUAACCAGUCUGUUCUGGUGUGUUUGUCAAGUAGUAAGUUAGAUAUAGGAGUUUAGAGUUUAGGGGAAUAAUUUGUGGAUGGAAAUAAAAGUUCCAGAGGCAUCAGUAUUUAGACUGUACUUGAAGCUUUGGGUCUGGAUGAGAUUACCUACAGGAGGGAAUGUACAAAAAUACAAGAGGACUAUAUUCUGUAGUGGUUUCAGAAGGGAAGCCAGUAAAGGGUCCCAAGGAGCUAUAGCCAGUGAGGUGGGAGGAAGAUGAGGAACAUCACAGAACACCAUAGAAGCCAAGGGAGAGAAAUACUACAAGAAAGGAACAGGAGACAGAUGCUGCUGAGAAGUGAGGGUGAGCAGGUUGGAUUUGGCCACUUGAGCUCUUGACUGGCCUUUAUCUGUCUCCUGAGGUUCGGAGCACACAGUCUCUGUAACUAACCUCCCGUUCAUUAACUCAGUUGAAAUAUUUUGAGUGAACCACACACUGUUCUAGGCAUUAAAUUACAAAAGCGUGGUUCCUGCUUUCAGGAAAUCAGGAAAACAAGUUAAAUGAAAACAUUACACAAUGACUGUAUAAUUAUAAUUGUGACCAGUGUUUCAAGGAAAAGUCCAGGAUGCCAUGAGAGUGUAUAAUGGGGCUCUAGAUUAGUCUGAGGGUCUAGGGAGGUCUUCCUGAGGAGAAGUCAUUCAAAGUGAGGCCUGAGGAAGCAAGCAUUUGGUUAGGUGAGUGUGUCAAGGACAUAGAGUACAGGAGGGUGGGGGGGUGAAUGGCAUGAGGAGAGACAAAGAGGCAGUGGGGUAUGAGAGUGAGCUAAGAUGGUGAAAUUGAUUGUCAUUCUUGGGAAACCACUAAAGGGUUUAAAUAAGGUGUGAUUAUCACAGAUCAGGGUGUGUGGGAUCACAAGGUUGUUGGAGUGGCCCUAGCAGGAGACACUGGUGGCUUUGACUGGGUGCUGGUGGUAAAGGUGGAAGGAGGAGAAUGAAUUUGAUUUUGGGGACUAGGAUCCACAGGACUUGGUAGUUGAAUGUGAAGAAUGAGGAAUAUAUCAGUGAUGACCCAGGUUUGUGUCAUAAGCCACUGGCUGCAAGGUGAGCCUGUUCUGCUAGAGUGGGGGACACUGAAGAAGUAUGUUUGUGAGGGAAUAGCAAGUGUUCCAUUUUGGGCACCUUGAAUCUAAGAUAUCCAACUUAGCCAGUAGAUAAUUGGAUACAGAGGCAUAGAGCUCCAAAAGGUCUGGGACAGAGAAAGACAUUUCAGAGUUGUUGGCCUAUGUGGUUAGAGUUUUAAACAUUGGGGCAAGUGUGGGUGAGACAAAAAAAAAAAAAAAAAAAAAAAAAAAAAAAAAAUCCAGCGCUGAGGAAUUCUCAUACUUAAAGGACAGUAGGGAGAGAGAAUAAAAACAAGGAAAGCAGUAUGUGCCCGUGGGAGUAGUCAACUGUUCCAGACACUGUCGAGGAGAACUGAAAAGAGCCCAUUGGGUUUAGCAAUGAGCAAGCUCCAUUUAUGGCAUUUUUUAUAUACCUGGACUGUAUAACCUUAUCUGUGCCCCCCUCCCCACCCACUCUCCGAGUGAAAGGGAAUUGGGCUGUGAGGUCAACUCCCCCCACUCUAGGAUCCUGGAGUGGGUGGUCCAUUCAUUGGGGGUUUUAACUGUCUAUAUCCAUGGUUUGGUUUCAAGUCUGAAUUCAUGUGUAUGGCUAAAGCAUUCUUCUGCCACUGAGUAAGCCUCUCUCCCUGCAGAUGAGGGGUGUUUAAAUAAAGUAACUUUAAAAAUGGAGAAUCAAGAAGCCAGCUUCUCUGCCCUCCCCUCCCCUCUACACACACUUAGAAUAGUGGACCUCACAUGUUGUGGGAUUUGUGACUUUAAGGCUUAAAUUUUGUGAAGAUCAAGAAGAGCGUGCUUAUACUCUGGAGGCCCUCAGAAUGACCUUUCUGAGUUAAUGUGAAAACAAGAGGCAUGUAGAGAGACUUUUCAUUCUUAAAAGAAGCACAAAGCAAAUGCACGUGACAUUGGCACCGUUUGGAUAAAAGCAUAAUUGUUUUCAGAAUGUCUACAGCCCAUUCCUUUCUCUUGUUCCUGCUUUCACCGCAGCUCCCAGCUCGACCGUCUCAGGGAAAUAGACACGGGCUCUUCAGCGCACGGUCAGUACGUGACCAAACUUGGAAACACACUUGCUCUGCCUCUGCUUGUGAGAGAGGCUUGCAGAAUUCACAACCAUACUUGUGGAGAAGCCCCCACAGGAGCAGAGAAGCUGCUCUCUGCUGUCCUUGGAAAGUUUGUGUCCCUUUCAUGGUGUCCCUAACCAGUGAGUGCUUUCUAGGCUGCCCUGUGUAGUCUUCAUAUAUUUAAGUCAAGUUGCUCUAAAAUUUGCAUAUCUUCAACAGAAAUCUUUACUGAGCUUGUCACUUACUGUGCAUCUGUAGUCUGUACAAAGAGGUUUGUGAAGAGGGGCAGAGGAGACCACGUGUUCAGAGGAAGAUUUCACGUUCAUUCUCCUUUGUCAGUAGCAGUUUCUCAGAAGGAAACCAGAGUCUAGACUGAGAGGUAAACGGGAGGAGGAAGAAGGGGAAGGGGGCUCCCAGCCUUGAAGUCGAGUUUGUUAGUUAUAUCCUGUAAGGUGAGGGGGUGACAAGAGCUGGAGGAGCCAUCCAGCAGCAGCCUUCCUCCAGCCGGGGGCUUCGUGUGCACUAGCUGCUUUAAUGUCCGUAACCCCGUUUAUGGGCGGUACAAGUGAGGCUCUGAAAGGUUGAAUGACUUACCUGUAACACACAACUGUCAGAGCAGUGCAGCUGGAACUUGAAUCCAGUACUUUGGCUCCAAAGCACAAGUUUCUCACUGGGUUUUGCAGAAAGAGAACUUGAGGUUGCCCUGUUUAUGGGAUUUGCCAUAGGUACCUCCCAGUUCCGAUCUGUCAUCUUCGUACUCUCUCCCAUGACCUCACCAUAUGGAGUGAAAGGCCGACAGAGAAAAAUGGCGAAAGUAUUCCUUUCCUUUCCAAGUGUUGUUCUGGAGAGAGACACAUGGCAUUUACAGUCGGAGGCCCCCUGACAUUCUGUGACUUGGAUGAACUUGGAGGCCCAGUGUAGCCUCAGGGAUGGCUAAACAGGCCACAGUUCUCUGGAGAGCCUGGCAGCUAAGUUGCUCCAUUGGGCCCAGGCUGUGCCCUCAGUGGCUCUUGGGUGGGGUGGGUGGGGCCCUUUUUCUUGCCUGCAGUGCAGCUUUGGAGCUAGUUUUCUAGGAGGGUUCUCCAUUUGAGAAGGUAGUCCUUUAAAGGACAAGGAAAUGCUGAAAGAGAAAUCUCCAGCCUGUUGGGAGGAGGAUAAGGUCACCCAAGAAAUGGAAGUUUCCUGCCAGUACCUCACUAUUAUCUGGAGACCCUGAGAGGCCUGUGGUGGGGGGAAGGAAUGGAGCAGAGGCUGGGAGUGCAGGCACCUGCUAGGGUUUUUCUGGAUCGUUAAAACUGCCUCAGGUACCAAGAGGCUAAUACUGCCUGCCUUUGCUACUGAAAUGGAAUGAUGUUUGAAAAUGCAAGUCAUUAUUCCUGUGGCAAAAACUGCCUUGAGCCAUUUUCUCUUAGUUUUUAAAUAUAUGUUCAUCUGUAGAUAAAACAGCCCAGCAGAAUGUGAGCCUGCAGCCAACCCCCUUCUCCUUGUGCGCUGAGGUGUUACCGGGCAUGCUUGGAGGGUUCUCACAAGUCAGAAUUGAUGGCACGGUAUCCUUUGUGAUGCAGGUACCCUGCCCUACCUCCCACCCAUGGUGGCAAAAAUAGGACUAGGCUUUUCCUGGGUGGAGGCAAGAGUGAAGGGGGCAGGACUUGUUCUGUGAAUGUCAGACCGAUGCCCACCUUGAUCUACUGUGGCUUUGGUUCCAGCACCCUGGGCAGCUGACCCCUGCCCAUCCACCCAUUCUCUCCCCCGGCCCAGCUAAGCACUGUGUUGACCACUCAUGAGCCACGAUCCAGUUCUGUUUCUUGGAACGCGAUGCUUUCCCCUCCACCAUGCAGAGCCAGAGAUGGAGGAGAAUGCAAAGCAGACACACUCCGUUCCUGAAUCACUUGUAGCUGCUUUGCCCAUACCCUGGGUCUGAUGAAAUAAAAUGUGUUAAGAUCCUUUAA